rnacentral:rRNA from 1 species
UACGAGGGGGCUAGCGUUGCUCGGAAUCACUGGGCGUAAAGCGCACGUAGGCGGAUUGCUAAGUCAGGGGUGAAAUCCUGGAGCUCAACUCCAGAACUGCCCUUGAUACUGGCGGUCUCGAGUCCGGGAGAGGUGAGUGGAACUGCGAGUGUAGAGGUGAAAUUCGUAGAUAUUCGCAAGAACACCAGUGGCGAAGGCGGCUCACUGGCCCGGUACUGACGCUGAGGUGCGAAAGCGUGGGGAGCAAACAGGG